GAUGAAGAACGCAGUGAAAUGCGAUAAGUAAUGUGAAUUGCAGAAUUCAGUGAAUCAUCGAAUCUUUGAACGCACAUUGCGCCCGCCAGUAUUCUGGCGGGCAUGCCUGUCUGAGCGUCGUUUCGACCCUCGCGCCCGGCUUCUGUCGGGGGCGGUGUUGGGGAUCGGCCACACCCUUCAGUGGGAGGCCGGCCCCUAAAUUCAGUGGCGACCACGCUGUAGCCUCCCCUGCGUAGUACUAAAACCACCUCGCAGGCGGAGAGCGGUGCGGCCCGCCGUAAAACCCCCCAACUUUUACAAGGUCGACCUCAGAUCAGGUAGGAAUACCCGCUGAACUUAAGCAUAUCAAUAAGCGGAGGA
rnacentral:misc_RNA from 1 species